GAUGAACGCUAGCUACAGGCUUAACACAUGCAAGUCGAGGGGUAGCAGGGUAUCAAUACCGCUGACGACCGGCGCACGGAUGAGUAACACGUAUCCAACCUUCCCAUAACUGGGGGAUAGCCUUUCGAAAGACAGAUUAAUACCCGAUAGUACUUAGUUUAGGCAUCUUAUUGAAGUUAAAGAUUUAUUGUUUAUGGUUGGGGAUGCGUUCCAUUAGAUAGUUGGUGUGGUAACGGCUCGCCAAGUCUUCGAUGGAUAGGAGUUCUGAGAGAGAGGUCCCCCACAUUGGUACUGAGACACGGACCAAACUCCUACGGGAGGCAGAAGUGAGGAAUAUUGGUCAAUGGGCGGGAGCCUGAACCAGCCAAGUAGCGUGAAGGAUGAGGGUCCUAUGGAUUGUAAACUUCUUUUAUAGUAGAAUAAAGUUAGCCACGUGUGGUUAUUUGUAUGUAUACUAUGAAUAAGGAUCGGCUAACUCCGUGCCAGCCGCCGCAGUAAGAC
rnacentral:rRNA from 1 species